rnacentral:rRNA from 1 species
GACGAACGCUGGCGGCGUGCUUAACACAUGCAAGUCGAACGGAAAGGCCCUGCUUUUGUGGGGUGCUAGAGUGGCGAACGGGUGUGUAACCCGGGAGUAACCUGCCCUUGACUUUGGGAUAACUUCAGGAAACUGGGGAUAAUACCGGCUAGGAGCUCCUGCUGCAGGGUGGGGGUUGGAACGUUUCGGCGGAUGGGGAUGGACUCGCGGCUUAUUAGCUUGUUGGGCGAGUAGUUGCCUACCAAGUGUUCGACGGAUAGCCGGCCUGAGAGGGUGAACGGCCACAAGGGGACUGAGAUACGGCGCAGUCUCCUACGGGAGGCAGCAGUGGAGAAUAUUGUACAAUGGGCGGACGCGUGAUGCAGCAACGUCGGGUGCGGGAUGACGUCCUUCGUGGUGUAAACCGCUUUAGCUUGUUACGAAGCGGGAGUGACGGUAAUGAGUAAAGAAGCACCGGCUAACUACGUG